rnacentral:lncRNA from 1 species
UGUUUAAAAAAAAUUACAAUGAAAAAAAGAAAUAAAAAAAUGACGUUUUUAUAGACAAAGAUGGGUUAAAGUUAUGAAAGAUAAAACAAAUAUUGAAAAUAACGUUGAGCUACUUUUUUUUAGAAACAUGAAACCUAUUAGAUGGAUACAUGGCAAAAGAGCUAAGUUUGCUUUGAACAUUAUAGGAUGGGUUGAAGCACUCCAAAUGCAUGACUUUGAAUUAAAAUGGCAUAUACAAAUACUUAUUACUUAGCUACUUAUUGUAUUUUUUUUUUCAUAGUAGCCUUCUAAAGGUGACUAUGUUUACUACACCAAAUCAUUAUUGAAAGAAUCAUUUAUCCUUAUUUCAUACCUUUUUAAAAAAAAUCAAAUAUAUGUGUUAAACACUAAAACAAGAGAAUAUGCGGAUUUUUUAUGAUUAAUUUUAUUGACUUAAAUUGUAAUGUGUUGAUAUUUGAGUUGUUUUAAAUAUGAAAAUCUAAAAUAAAAUAUAUUGAUAUCAAAAUAUGUUGUUUAAAAAAAAUUACAAUGAAAAAAAGAAAUAAAAAAAUGACGUUUUUAUAGACAAAGAUGGGUUAAAGUUAUGAAAGAUAAAACAAAUAUUGAAAAUAACGUAGAGCUACUUUUUUUUAGAAACAUGAAACCUAUUAGAUGGAUACAUGGCAAAAGAGCUAAGUUUGCUUUGAACAUUAUAGGAUGGGUUGAAGCACUCCAGAUGCAUGACUUUGAAUUAAAAUGGCAUAUACAAAUACUGAUUACUUAGCUACUUAUUGUAUUUUUUUUCAUCAUAGUAGCCUUCUAUAGGUGACUAUGUUUACUACACCAAAUCAUUAUUGAAAGAAUCAUUUAUCCUUAUUUCAUACCUUUUUAAAAAAAAUCAAAUAUAUGUGUUAAACACUAAAACAAGAGAAUAUGCGGAUUUUUUAUGAUUAAUUUUAUUGACUUAAAUUGUAAUGUGUUGAUAUUUGAGUUGUUUUAAAUAUGAAAAUCUAAAAUAAAAUAUAUUGAUAUCAAAAUAUGUUGUUUAAAAAAAAUUACAAUGAAAAAAAGAAAUAAAAAAAUGACGUUUUUAUAGACAAAGAUGGGUUAAAGUUAUGAAAGAUAAAACAAAUAUUGAAAAUAACGUAGAGCUACUUUUUUUUAGAAACAUGAAACCUAUUAGAUGGAUACAUGGCAAAAGAGCUAAGUUUGCUUUGAACAUUAUAGGAUGGGUUGAAGCACUCCAGAUGCAUGACUUUGAAUUAAAAUGGCAUAUACAAAUACUGAUUACUUAGCUACUUAUUGUAUUUUUUUUCAUCAUAGUAGCCUUCUAUAGGUGACUAUGUUUACUACACCAAAUCAUUAUUGAAAGAAUCAUUUAUCCUUAUUUCAUACCUUUUUAAAAAAAAUCAAAUAUAUGUGUUAAACACUAAAACAAGAGAAUAUGCGGAUUUUUUAUGAUUAAUUUUAUUGACUUAAAUUGUAAUGUGUUGAUAAUUGAGUUGCUUUAAAUAUGAAAAUCAAAAAUAAAAUAUAUUGAUAUCAAAAUAUGUUGUUUAAAAAAAAUUACAAUGAAAAAAGGAAAUAAAAAAAUGACUUUUUUAUAGACAAAAAUGGGUUAAAGUUAGGAAAAAUAAAACAAAUAUUGAAAAUAACGCAGAGCUAGUUUUGUUAGCAACAUGAAACUUAUUAGAUGGAUACAUGGCAAAAGAGCUAUGUUUUCUUUGAACAUUAUAGGAUGGGUUGAAGCACUCCAAAUGCAUGACUUUGAAUUAAAAUGGCAUAUACAAACACUUAUUACUUAGCUACUUAUUGUAUUUUUUUCUUCAUAGUAGCCUUCAAAAGGUGACUAUGUUUACUACUCCAAAUCAUUAUUGAAAGAAUCAUUUAUCCUUAUUUCAUACCUUUUUAAAAAAAAUCAAAUAUAUGUGUUAAACACUAAAACAAGAGAAAAUGCGGAUUUUUUAAGAUUAAUUUUAUUGACUUAAAUUGUAAUAUGUUGAUAAUUGAGUUGUUCUAAAUAUGAAAAUCUAAAAUAAAAUAUAUUGAUAUCAAAAUAUGUUGUUUAAAAUAAAUUACAAUGAAAUAAAGAAAAAAAAAUGACGUUUUUAUAGACGAAGAUGGGUUAAAGUUUUGAAAGAUAAGACAAAUAUUGAAAAUAACGUAGAGCUACUUUUGUUAGAAACAUGAAACCUAUUAGACGGAUACAUGGCAGAAGAGCUAAGUGUGCUUUGAACAUUAUAGGAUGGGUUGAAGCACUCCAAAUGCAUGACUUUGAAUUAAAAUGGCAUAUACAAAUACUUAUUACUUAGCUACUUAUUGUAUUUUUUUUCAUCAUAGUAGCCUUCUAUAGGUGACUAUGUUUACUACACCAAAUCAUUAUUGAAAGAAUCAUUUAUCCUUAUUUCAUACCUUUUUAAAAAAAAUCAAAUAUAUGUGUUAAACACUAAAACAAGAGAAAAUGCGGAUUUUUUAUGAUUAAUUUUAUUGUCUUAAAUUGUAAUGUGUUGAUAAUUGAGUUGUUCUAAAUAUGAAAAUCUAAAAUAAAAUAUAUUGAUACCAAAAUAUGUUGUUUAAAAAAAAUUACAAUGAAAAAAGGAAAUAAAAAAAUUUCUUUUUUAUAGACAAAAAUGGGUUAAAGUUAGGAAAGAUAAAACAAAUAUUGAAAAUAACGUAGAGUUACUUUUGUUAGAAACAUGAAACCCAUUAGAUGUAUAUAUGGAAAAAGAGCUAAGUUUGCUUUGAUCAUUAUAGGAUGGGUUGAAGCACUCCAAAUGCAUGACUUUGAAUUAAAAUGGCAUAUACAGAUACUUAUUACUUAGCUACUUAUUGUAUUUUUUUCUUCAUAGUAGCCUUCUAAAGGUGACUAUGUUUACUACACCAAAUCAUUAUUGAAAGAAUCAUUUAUCCUUAUUUCAUACCUUUUUAAAAAAAAUCAAAUAUAUGUGUUAAACACUAAAACAAGAGAAUAUGCGGAUUUUUUAUGAUUAAUUUUAUUGACUUAAAUUGUAAUGUGUUGAUAUUUGAGUUGUUUUAAAUAUGAAAAUCUAAAAUAAAAUAUAUUGAUAUCAAAAUAUGUUGUUUAAAAAAAAUUACAAUGAAAAAAAGAAAUAAAAAAAUGACGUUUUUAUAGACAAAGAUGGGUUAAAGUUAUGAAAGAUAAGACAAAUAUUGAAAAUAACGUAGAGCUACUUUUGUUAGAAACAUGAAACCUAUUAGAUGGAUACAUGGCAAAAGAGCUAAGUUUGCUUUGAACAUUAUAGGAUGGGUUGAAGCACUCCAAAUGCAUGACUUUGAAUUAAAAUGGCAUAUACAAAUACUGAUUACUUAGCUACUUAUUGUAUUUUUUUUCAUCAUAGUAGCCUUCUAAAGGUGACUAUGUUUACUACACCAAAUCAUUAUUGAAAGAAUCAUUUAUCCUUAUUUCAUACCUUUUUAAAAAAAAUCAAAUAUAUGUGUUAAACACUAAAACAAGAGAAUAUGCGGAUUUUUUAUGAUUAAUUUUAUUGACUUAAAUUGUAAUGUGUUGAUAUUUGAGUUGUUUUAAAUAUGAAAAUCUAAAAUAAAAUAUAUUGAUAUCAAAAUAUGUUGUUUAAAAAAAAUUACAAUGAAAAAAAGAAAUAAAAAAAUGACGUUUUUAUAGACAAAGAUGGGUUAAAGUUAUGAAAGAUAAGACAAAUAUUGAAAAUAACGUAGAGCUACUUUUGUUAGAAACAUGAAACCUAUUAGAUGGAUACAUGGCAAAAGAGCUAAGUUUGCUUUGAACAUUAUAGGAUGGGUUGAAGCACUCCAAAUGCAUGACUUUGAAUUAAAAUGGCAUAUACAAAUACUGAUUACUUAGCUACUUAUUGUAUUUUUUUUCAUCAUAGUAGCCUUCUAAAGGUGACUAUGUUUACUACACCAAAUCAUUAUUGAAAGAAUCAUUUAUCCUUAUUUCAUACCUUUUUAAAAAAAAUCAAAUAUAUGUGUUAAACACUAAAACAAGAGAAUAUGCGGAUUUUUUAUGAUUAAUUUUAUUGACUUAAAUUGUAAUGUGUUGAUAUUUGAGUUGUUUUAAAUAUGAAAAUCUAAAAUAAAAUAUAUUGAUAUCAAAAUAUGUUGUUUAAAAAAAAUUACAAUGAAAAAAAGAAAUAAAAAAAUGACGUUUUUAUAGACAAAGAUGGGUUAAAGUUAUGAAAGAUAAGACAAAUAUUGAAAAUAACGUAGAGCUACUUUUGUUAGAAACAUGAAACCUAUUAGAUGGAUACAUGGCAAAAGAGCUAAGUUUGCUUUGAACAUUAUAGGAUGGGUUGAAGCACUCCAAAUGCAUGACUUUGAAUUAAAAUGGCAUAUACAAAUACUGAUUACUUAGCUACUUAUUGUAUUUUUUUUCAUCAUAGUAGCCUUCUAAAGGUGACUAUGUUUACUACACCAAAUCAUUAUUGAAAGAAUCAUUUAUCCUUAUUUCAUACCUUUUUAAAAAAAAUCAAAUAUAUGUGUUAAACACUAAAACAAGAGAAUAUGCGGAUUUUUUAUGAUUAAUUUUAUUGACUUAAAUUGUAAUGUGUUGAUAUUUGAGUUGUUUUAAAUAUGAAAAUCUAAAAUAAAAUAUAUUGAUAUCAAAAUAUGUUGUUUAAAAAAAAUUACAAUGAAAAAAAGAAAUAAAAAAAUGACGUUUUUAUAGACAAAGAUGGGUUAAAGUUAUGAAAGAUAAGACAAAUAUUGAAAAUAACGUAGAGCUACUUUUGUUAGAAACAUGAAACCUAUUAGAUGGAUACAUGGCAAAAGAGCUAAGUUUGCUUUGAACAUUAUAGGAUGGGUUGAAGCACUCCAAAUGCAUGACUUUGAAUUAAAAUGGCAUAUACAAAUACUGAUUACUUAGCUACUUAUUGUAUUUUUUUUCAUCAUAGUAGCCUUCUAAAGGUGACUAUGUUUACUACACCAAAUCAUUAUUGAAAGAAUCAUUUAUCCUUAUUUCAUACCUUUUUAAAAAAAAUCAAAUAUAUGUGUUAAACACUAAAACAAGAGAAUAUGCGGAUUUUUUAUGAUUAAUUUUAUUGACUUAAAUUGUAAUGUGUUGAUAUUUGAGUUGUUUUAAAUAUGAAAAUCUAAAAUAAAAUAUAUUGAUAUCAAAAUAUGUUGUUUAAAAAAAAUUACAAUGAAAAAAAGAAAUAAAAAAAUGACGUUUUUAUAGACAAAGAUGGGUUAAAGUUAUGAAAGAUAAGACAAAUAUUGAAAAUAACGUAGAGCUACUUUUGUUAGAAACAUGAAACCUAUUAGAUGGAUACAUGGCAAAAGAGCUAAGUUUGCUUUGAACAUUAUAGGAUGGGUUGAAGCACUCCAAAUGCAUGACUUUGAAUUAAAAUGGCAUAUACAAAUACUUAUUACUUAGCUACUUAUUGUAUUUUUUUUCUUCAUAGUAGCCUUCUAAAGGUGACUAUGUUU